GUCAUCACUACACAUAAAUUGGUACUUGAGAAUAUCCCAAAACUUACUAGCGCAGAGAAUACCUGUGCAAUUUCAAGACCAGAUUAUGUAAAGCAAUUUGCUUCUUCAGUAUUAUCCUGCAUUUCCCGACUUGAAAUUCUCAACUUGAAUCUCCGUCGUAGCAAGGUGUUCUUAGAGAAUGCCUUUCCUCAAAUGCCUAAGUUGAAGAAGUUGGCCAUUAGAUGGUAAACGAGCGUAUGAAAACAGUCUCUUGCCAGUAACAGCUUUGAUAUGGGCAUCUCCUCGUCUUCAAGAACUCAAAUUGCAGGUUGAGCGCCCGCAAAUAUUUCAUUCUACAUCGGAAAAUAGUGAAAAACAUCGGCACAAACAUCUCAAAGCGUUUGAUUUCAUUGGUUUUUCUGACGGUGCUGCCGAUCAUAAAAAAUUGCUGAUAUAUAUUUUGGAUAAUUGCAUUGCGCUUGAGAAAAUAAUUAUCGGUUGUCCAUCACUAGCUGGGGCUGAGCCACGAGCUGCCCCUCGAACAAUUGCUUGAUGGCAAAGUACCUGACCACAUUCAACUCUAUAUUGUUUAAUUAUCCUUCUCAUUUUUUUCAGUUAUUUAUCAUUUUGAACUAAGAUUGAUUCUUUUUAGUGUUAAUAGUUGUAAAUAACCAUUUUUCUUAAUAAAAGGUUGAUAAUAACCAUAAAAAUAAAAAUAUAUUAA